CCAACGGCACCCAAACGCCUCCUCAUCUUUUUGUUAAGGUAAAAAUAGCCUGGGCGGCUGGUUACCGGCCUGACAACGAGCCAAGGUCAGACAUUCAAAGGCCAGUGAGCAUGCCAACUACUGUUCGGAGCCGAGAUACUGUCCGAGACGGAAAGAAAGACUGGACCAGCAUAUUGAAGAAAAAUGAUGACUGGUUACCUGGCCUCAAAAGGAAUCAGAGGGGCGUGUUGGACGUGUCCUCAGACAAAUCAACCAGUCAUAUCAUGCAGAUUGGUAACAUGUAGGUAUUAUGAAAAGCAUGUUAGAUGCUCCUGUGUUUCAGUGCCCACUUUCUGUUAUAAUCACAUAGUAAUACAGCAGACAUUAAAACAUUCAGUUAACGUUUAGUAAUAAUAAAACACACUGGCUAACUGUAGCUGUAUUUUUACAGCUUUAUCUGGGAGAAAUAUAAUAAAAUGAAUACUUCUUAAA